UACGUAGGGGUGCAAGCGUUUAAUCGGAAUUACUGGGCGUAAAGCGUGCGCAGGCGGUUUUGUAAGUCAGAUGUGAAAUCCCCGGGCUCAACCUGGGAACUGCGUUUGUGACUGUAUGACUAGAGUACGGUAGAGAGGGGUGGAAUUCCUGGUGUAGCAGUGAAAUGCGUAGAUUAUCAGGAGGAACAUCGAUGGCGAAGGCAGCCCC
rnacentral:rRNA from 1 species